rnacentral:rRNA from 1 species
GUGGCGAACGGGUGAGUAACACGUGGGUGAUCUGCCCUGCACUUCGGGAUAAGCCCGGGAAACUGGGUCUAAUACCGGAUAGGACUGCGCGGUGCAUGCCGUGUGGUGGAAAGAUUUAUCGGUGCAGGAUGGGCCCGCGGCCUAUCAGCUUGUUGGUGGGGUAAUGGCCUACCAAGGCGACGACGGGUAGCCGGCCUGAGAGGGCGACCGGCCACACUGGGACUGAGACACGGCCCAGACUCCUACGGGAGGCAGCAGUGGGGAAUAUUGCACAAUGGGCGCAAGCCUGAUGCAGCGACGCCGCGUGAGGGAUGACGGCCUUCGGGUUGUAAACCUCUUUCAGCAGGGACGAAGCGUGAGUGACGGUACCUGCAGAAGAAGCACCGGCCAACUACGUGCCAGCAGCCGCGGUAAUACGUAGGGUGCAAGCGUUGUCCGGAAUUACUGGGCGUAAAGAGCUCGUAGGCGGUUUGUCGCGUCGUCUGUGAAAACCAGCAGCUCAACUGUUGGCUUGCAGGCGAUACGGGCAGACUUGAGUAUUUCAGGGGAGACUGGAAUUCCUGGUGUAGCGGUGAAAUGCGCAGAUAUCAGGAGGAACACCGGUGGCGAAGGCGGGUCUCUGGGAAAUAACUGACGCUGAGGAGCGAAAGCGUGGGUAGCGAACAGGAUUAGAUACCCUGGUAGUCCACGCCGUAAACGG